rnacentral:lncRNA from 1 species
CUCCUCGUUUUGUAUGGUUGCUCUAUUGAACUUUGACAUAAGGAAUGAUACGUUGCAUCAAAACUUGAUCCUUUCUAUCAACAACUCAUCCUAGCCACUCCUUAUAAGAUAGAUCUUCUCUAAGCUAAAGUGAUCCAAACGCCACCACAUGGCUAGGAUCAGAUACAUAUUUUUUUCAAGAUGGAGACAUGAAAAAUAUUGUGUUACUUCGACA